rnacentral:snoRNA from 1 species
CCCCUCUCAGGGUCACACCUGGAGAGUUUCCAGUACUCUACCAGUCUUGACUUUGGGAGGGAGAGUCAAGCAGAGGCAUACUCAUUCCAUUCCUAGCUUGGGCAGUAGCUAGCAAGUGGAAGGCAAUCUGCUACAAGU